GAGCAUGGCUCAGGACGAACGCUGGCGGCGUGCUUAACACAUGCAAGUCGAACGGAGCACCCUUGACUGAGGUUUCGGCCAAAUGAUAGGAAUGCUUAGUGGCGGACUGGUGAGUAACGCGUGAGGAACCUGCCUUCCAGAGGGGGGACAACAGUUGGAAACGACUGCUAAUACCGCAUGACGCAUGACCGGGGCAUCCCGGGCAUGUCAAAGAUUUUAUCGCUGGAAGAUGG
rnacentral:rRNA from 1 species